rnacentral:rRNA from 1 species
CGCGUAGGUGGUUCGGUAAGUUGCUGGUGAAAUCCCGGGGCUCAACCCCGGGGCUGCCGGCACGACUGCCGGACUCGAGCACGGUAGGGGCAGAUGGAAUUCCCGGUGUAGCGGUGGAAUGCGUAGAGAUCGGGAAGAACACCAGUGGCGAAGGCGUUCUGCUGGGCCGUUGCUGACACUGAGGCGCGAAAGCGUGGGGAGCAAACG